rnacentral:lncRNA from 10 species
CGGCUACCAGCGGCUGGGGAUGAGGGAGUGACUGUUCAUGGGCAUGAGGGGAUUUUGGGGAAGUGACAGUGUUCUGGAACUAGAUAGCGGUGGUGUUUGCGUGGCAUCGUGAAGGUACCUAACGUCAGCGAACAGAAUACUUUAAAAUGGUAAAAUGGCUGAUUUUAUAUUAUGUAUAUUUACCACAAUUUAAAAGGAAGGAAGGAAGGAAGGAAGGCAGGCAGGCAGGAGAAGGAGGUAGGAGGGAGGGAAAGAGGGAGGGAGGAAGGAGGGAGGGAAGAAGGAAGGAAGGAAGGAGAAGGGAAGGGAAGGAAGGAAGGAGAAGGGAAAGGAAGGGAAAGUAGAAGGAGGUAGGAGGGAGGGAGGGAGGAAGGAAGGAGGCUUCUUUUGCAGAAAUCAGGAUCUGGCCACGCUGGGUCUUUCGCUGAUCACAGCGGCCCCUGUCCAGCAUUCCUGGCCCCAGUAAGCUUCUGGCGUUUCCAAAGGUGGCAGGAGACUGGGCAGCCGACAUAGCAGGAGGGAACAUCGCGCUCUGCCCUCCCCAUCCCAAGCCCUCUGGCCUGGCCCUGCCCACAGGGUAAAGAGGGAAGUUCCAGGCUGGUGCUGCUGCUGCUGUGGCUGCCAUCCCUUGUCCCUAAGUCUGGGCCCCAGGCCCUGGGUACAGCUCCCUUCCUCACCCUGCCAGGGCCCAUGACCUCCUUCCGUCCUUUCAGGAUUUUGCAGGAAGUGGAAGAGGCGUGUAGAAGGUGCCAGAGGACAGACAGGAAGCCAAACCUAGAUGUCUUCCCCUGCCUUCAUUGGGAGGGUGCUGAGCCACGGGUUCCACCUCUGCCAAAGGCACACCUAGGAGACUCCUCAUGUCCAGCUGAGAAGAGGGGGACACCUCCUGUCUGAGACUGCAGCUCACACUGCUGCAUGCUUCCUGGACACCAUCUCUCUGACCUUGGUCGCAUCUGCCUAGCCUGCAGCUACGUUCUCUGACCUCCAGCUCUUCCUCUUUCUCCCCUCGGUAAUACCAAAGUCUCAAGAACACAGCCCUCACUUCUAGACAGAAAGGCCUCACCAGGACCCACCUGUGUGGCCCAGGUGUGACCUCAUGUACAAACACAUCUCCCAAAAUCACCAUCUCGUCAUCAUGGAUCCUAGUACUAUCCAUGAGUUAACUCUCAUUUCUGUGUUAAUCGGGGGUGCAGCACAUUUUGGUGCAGAUUCAUUGUGGCUUUGGGGUGCCAUUUGGGACUCUCCCCCAUGCACAAUGUGUGCCUAUCUCAUCAAAUUAAAUUAGGCUUGUUUUGGCCUGGCCAGUGUCCAUUCCUUCUUUUCCGGAUAAUAGCAUCUCAGUUUUCCAU